CGGUGAUCUAGCCAUGGGCAGGUUGAAGGUUGGGUAACACUAACUGGAGGACCGAACCGACUAAUGUUGAAAAAUUAGCGGAUGACCUGUGGCUGGGGGUGAAAGGCCAAUCAAACCGGGAGAUAGCUGGUUCUCCCCGAAAGCUAUUUAGGUAGCGCCUCGUGAAUUCAUCUCCGGGGGUAGAGCACUGUUUCGGCUAGGGGGCCAUCCCGGCUUACCAACCCGAUGCAAACUGCGAAUACCGGAGAAUGUUAUCACGGGAGACACACGGCGGGUGCUAACGUCCGUCGUGAAGAGGGAAACAACCCAGACCGCCAGCUAAGGUCCCAAAGUCAUGGUUAAGUGGGAAACGAUGUGGGAAGGCCCAGACAGCCAGGAUGUUGGCUUAGAAGCAGCCAUCAUUUAAAGAAAGCGUAAUAGCUCACUGGUCGAGUCGGCCUGCGCGGAAGAUGUAACGGGGCUAAACCAUGCACCGAAGCUGCGGCAGCGACACUGUGUGUUGUUGGGUAGGGGAGCGUUCUGUAAGCCUGUGAAGGUGUGUCGUGAGGCAUGCUGGAGGUAUCAGAAGUGCGAAUGCUGACAUAAGUAACGAUAAAGCGGGUGAAAAGCCCGCUCGCCGGAAGACCAAGGGUUCCUGUCCAACGUUAAUCGGGGCAGGGUGAGUCGACCCCUAAGGCGAGGCCGAAAGGCGUAGUCGAUGGGAAACGGGUUAAUAUUCCCGUACUUGGUGUUACUGCGAAGGGGGGACGGAGAAGGCUAUGUUGGCCGGGCGACGGUUGUCCCGGUU
rnacentral:rRNA from 1 species